CUUUCAUAUUUUAUUCACACAGCUCAGUGGGUGGUGGGGUCGAGGCCCCCCAUGGGGUUACUGGACACAAAACAGGUCCAUUAAACAAAUGGUCCGACUCAAGUCCCGGCUGCUGCUGGUAAAGGGAGUUCCCAUUCCCGUUGUCCUAAAUCACUGGGGAUUGUUUACUGCGAAACACAGACAGGAGAAACAGCAGCCGUGUGCCUCUGCGUGUCUUGGCUGAACCGACUUUUGCAUUCUAAGCACUAGACCAACUCGUCAAACCUACUUUGCAGGAUUUAGAAAUAGCUGCGGUGAUCCUCCACCCAGAGGACCCUGGAAGGACAGCAAGAGUGUGAGUGAGCCCUCCCCCAACCCAGAGGACCUUCACAGUCCUGAAAGAGCACUGGUGAGGCCUCCCUCCACCUGGAGGACCCCGGGCAGGCCUGCGAGGGCACCAGUUACCCCUCUUUCCAUUUGGAAGAGUCCAGGUGGGCCUCCAAGAACCACAGUGACACAGUAGGGCCCUGGCUGAGGCACACACCAUGGACAGGUGGGUAUGGCAGCCUAGAAAAGCCAGAAGCAGCAAUGAAACCAUGAGCCACAGGUUGGUUCACGUCAAUACUCCUAUUAGUCAGCUCGGGAAGAGUCCAGGACUCAUCCAAUUGGCCCCACAGGAGAACUUCAGAUGACUGUCUCCCUCCCCUGCACUAUGGGACCUGGCAACUAGGUGAACGCCAGCCACACAAUAGGACUCUGACUAAGAUUUACCCAACAGACAGGCAAAAUACGCAAGAAUUAAAAAAAACUGAAAUUUGACCAAGAGGUGAAAAUGACAAAAAGAAAAAGUAAAAUGCAAUCCCAGACCUCCAGCUCAUCCAGAACAAAUACAAGAGACAUCAACAUAGAAGAAACUGGAAACUUGAAAUUUCUGAAAAGACAGCAAGUGAAGAAACAAAUCCAUCCAGAUAUACAGGAAAUUGAAUCAAAAAUCAUAUCUCAGGUAAAGAAAGAAACGGCAGCCUUAAUGAAGGAGUUGCUCUCUAGCCAAGAAAUGGAUCUUUUGCCAUUGAACAGGAAAUGUUGAAGAUGGGUAGCUGAGUCACAGCUACAGUGAAGGCAAGCUGGUAAUAAGUUUCUAGGACAUAAUGGACAAGUGUCUCUUACUAUGUGAAGGUUUAUGAUGGACAUAACCCAAGUGGGUGUUUACCCCACAGCAGCAGAGGUAUUAGCUCUGCAAACUAUUGAGUCACUUUAUCUAGAAAGACUGACAUUUCCUUUUUAAGAAGUGUAAUUACCAGCUUACAAUUCAUUCCAAACACAAGGCAGCUACUUGAUUUUUGUUGCUCCAAAUGCUCCUUGACACUUUCACAUGAGAUGAUGAAGCCAGGGGACUGAACAUAAAAGUCUGUGAGACACAUGAUACAGCUGAAGUUCACAGUAACUACAGUGAACUGAACACCAUGGAUAGCAAUAAGAAUGAGCUUCUGGGAGAUCUUGAUCCCCGAAGGCAGGAAUAUGUCACCCAUGUGCAGCCCUAGAAGCAGAAAGAAGUUCCCCAAUACAUUUGGCCUCCUCACUGGGAAGCAGAGGCAGGACCCUCAGUGGGUCUAUGAGGUCUAGGACAACAAUUCUGGUGGGGAAAAGGCCAGAGGGAUGGUGAAGGGUUCAGUCCCAGGUACCAGAUGACAGCAGCUUAGGAAGGCUGGAAAUUCUUCUUCCAUGAAUUUCUCACCCUAACUCCCCAGGGCUUUGUUAUUCUGAGUGUUUCGUAUGGUGUCUUUUUUUCCUCUUGUAUAAUAAGAAAGUAUCGUUUCCUAGACCAUCCUUGAGAUUCUCAAAGGAGUUGAUUAAUGGUAUUUUCCUUCACUGAGUUUUUCUCAAAAUGGGAAUUGCAAAUACACCAAAGUAGAAUCCAUUCUAGAACAUGGUACAAAGGUGGGGCCAGUUCAUGCCCUGCUUCCUCUUCCUCAGCUCUCUGUCAGUCAUCUCCCUUUGUUAGAUCAGAACAUACCCAACUGAUCUGCAGAAAUUCCCUCUUCCCUUUGAAGGGCUGUGAAGGGAGGGGUCUUGGUCUGACAUGGCCAAGGGAUGGAGCUGUUUCCAAGCCAGGCCUCAUCUUCCUGGGAUAUUGAUUGAUCCUUGGGUAGAAUGUUAUCAAGUGAAAGAUAAAAUUUAAAAAGUGGCACUUUGGAAAAAGCUAUCAGAAAUUCAUUCACUGAUGCCUAGGUUUAUUUGAUAAAUACUAUUGAAUACUAUCACAGGAACUUGGGAUUCUGGAGUAAACCAAUCAGACAAAAAUCUCUAGAGAAUGAACCUAACACUGUGAGCAGGGAGAAGACAAACAAUAAAAAGGGAAAUAAAUGAACUAUGCAGUUCAGUCAUAAGAACAGUAAAGAAAAACAGAGCAAAUAAAAGGGAACACAGUAAAGUCAGGUUGUAACUGCCAACAGUCCUUACCAUUCCCACCAGACAUUGAAUGAAAACCUGAAAAUGGUGGAGGAAGCCAAGAGGUUGUGAAGAGAGACAGAUUCUAUCAGAGGGAACAAAUGCUAACGCCUGAGUGGGAGCAAGCCCACCAAAGUUAAGGAAAUGUAAUGGGGAUGUUAAAGCACAGGAAAUGACAGGCUCAACGAGCUGCUGCCUUAAAGCAAACAAGCUUUCUGGGGCAUACAACUAUAAGCAUUUUCUUUUAUCUACUUCUGGUCACUUGAGCAAAAAAAGUCCAUAGGAAUGCCAAGGUCAAAGAAUGGGGUAGCAUGGCUGGCCUCCUGAGAGAAACUGAGACUCAAGACUAGUAACCCAGUCUAAUAGAUAGCCAUUGAAAGUGCUAACCAGAUUAGAGACCUGAAUUAUCUUUUGUUUAACAGCACCAGUUUGAUGGGGAUGUCAAAAACAGACUAUGAGGCAGCAAUGAUGGAAUCUGGGCCAUCAGAAGUUAUUAAAUUAUUCUAUGUGAAACACCAUGAUGUCAGAGAUCAGUGAAGUAAGUAGCAGAGAAUUUAGUAAAGCUGGUAAAUUCUGGGAAUAUUUUGAAAUUACUGUUAAGGACUUGAGCCCACUUACUAAUGGGUUGAGCAUGAAACAUGACUUAAAUUUUUGAGUUUUAGGCAACCAUGAGGGUAUAUCUAUUAUUUUUCACAUAAAAGAGCUGGACAAAAAGUUGGAAGAGAGGAAAGGUGGGGAGCCUGCUUCAGACAUGUGUUAAGUUUCUGAUGUCUAUUUGACCUCCAGAUAGAUAUCAAAUAGACACAUAGCAGGCUGAAGUUUAGAUCUAGAGUAGAAAUCUGGUAUGGUAGCACACAUCUGUAAUCCCAGCAUUCAGGAUGCUGAGGUAGGAGGACUGCCAUGAGUUUUAGGCCAGCCUGGGAUAUAUAUCAUGAUCCUGUAUCAAAAGGAAAAAAGAGAGAGAAAGAAAUCUAAAUUUUGGAGUCAUCGGUAUAUAGACAAUACAUUACUUUUUCACUGUACAUAACAAAUCACCACAAACUGAGCAUUGUAGCAUAGUAUGUCAGAAGCCCAAUACAGCAUGGCUGGUUUCUGUGCUUGUAUUUUCACAGGCCAAAAUCAGUGUCAGCCAGGGAUGCUGCAAGAUUUUGGUCUUCACCACAGCUAAUGGUUGACAGCCCAGUGCAGUUUCUUAUAGCUAUAUGACCAACAUCUCCAUUUUCUCGGUGGGCAUUGGUUAUCACAGUUCCAUACCUCCUCUAAAAUAUGGCCCUUUUCUUCUUCAAGGCCAGCAAAAGCAAAAAAAAAAAAAAAAAAAAAAAAAAAAAAAAAAAAAAAAACCUCUUUGUCCUAAAAUCUUUCGAAUUUAUAAAGAACAAAGUCCUUCUUUGAAGAGCUAAACAAAUUAGAUCAGGCAAAUCCAGACAUAUCAUACACUGAUUAACUCAAAGUCAACUGAUUAGUGACCCAACUGAUUAGUGACCCAACUGAUUAGUGACCCACAGAAGUGAUGUCCCAUCACAUUCAUAGUUCCACCACAGUCAAGAGGGAGUUGUGUGGAGGGACAGGAAACCUGAAUCUAUCUUAAAAGUUUGAAUAUUAUAAACAGUUGCUUAAAGCUGUGGAAUUCAAAGAGCUCAUGAAUUUGAGUAUAGAUAGACAAGAAAAUUAGAUUUUUCUGUAGGGACAUCUGGAGCUGCCUUAUUGCUACAAUUUUUCUGGCCAGGACAUUCUGAUUGUUGCCUAAAUCCUUGCCAGUUAGGCUUAAUUGUCUACCUGAUUGACUUGGAAGCCACCAGAGGGAUUAGUAAAGCACACUUAUGAGUAUAUCUGGGUGAGUCAUGGAAGUAUAACUUUGGGUACUAUAUCUGGUCAUUGACCCCCUUUUUCUCUGUUGCUUUGCUCCUGCUCUGAUUCUGUUACCAUGAACUAAGCAACUUUGCUCUCAGGUGAUGUUCUGCCUUCAAGCCAGAUGACCAUGGACUGAACCCUCUGAAACCAUAAGCCACAUUAAACCUGUCUUUCUUUCAGCUCUCAGUGUCAAAUAUUGUGUCCCAGCUAUGAGAAAGUUGUAUGAUACACAAUCAAUAAGCCCUAACAGAGUCAGUUUCUGGAUGGGUCUUUUUUCAUACCAAGAUUAAAGAACCACUUGCUCACACCAUAAAAGACUAAAAUGCAAGGAAAUGAAAGUGUUGCAUACCUCUAAUGCCAAAAUGAGAUUUAAAUACAUUGCAGUGGAAAUCCUGUAUGAAUCCUUCUCUUGACAUUUGUUUCAUUGCAAGAGUGAAUCCUCUGAGUUUAGAAUGUGACAAUAUGGCAGAAUAGUAUUCUAAACUCUACUUUAGGAGACUAAUUUCUUUUAUUUCUGAAUUGAUGGUAGUGUCUCUUCUUUGGUUCCUCCAUUGUUUUCUGCUUAUAGUCUGAAUAGCAUGCAGUGGAGUGAGAAUGUGACAAAUGUAGAGAAAUUCUGAAACCAGGGGCCCCUAUCUUAUUCCUGCCUCUCCUCAAGACUUUGCUUUUAAAAGACAAUAAGUGUACUAACAAAAGCACAGUCUUUCCAAAGAGAUAAAUCUGGGCUUAAGAACUGACACUUCUAUUCAUAAGCUAUGCAACUUUGAGCUCAUUACCUAACUUUUUAUGUAUCUCCUUUUUCUCACCUGUCAAAUGCAAUAAUAUUACCUUCCUUCUUAGGUUAUUGAAAGGCUUAAGCAAGAUAAUGGAUAUAAAUGCAUUUAUAUCAUGAGCUAAGUGGCAGUGGCUAUUGCAAUAGUUACUAUGUCUGUAAUUCUUUCUGAAAUAGGACCUCAAAAAAUGACCUCCCUUUGUCUGUAGCAUUAUCAAAUAUUCAUAGCUUUGAAGACUAAAAAAAAGAGAAAAAACCUGGCAAUAGUAAGAGGCAGCAUCUCAGUUCGCUCCCCUCCUUUUGCCUAAACAUGAUUUGCUAAUAUUAUCUGGCCCUUCCCUGAGCCUGACUUUGGAUUAGCAGUGGAAAAAGAAAACUUUAAGAGUCCACACCAUUGAACUAUCCUCCAUAACUGUACAUGAAGGUCAUGAGGUAGGAAUCAUGAAGUCCAGAAAAGGAAAAUACAAACUAAGACAUUAAAAACAUUCCAAUGAUUGAAUGCAAAUUUGGAAUGAUUGUACGAUUUAUGGCUUUGUUUCAGCUAUCAGUUUUCCCUGGACCAAUAUGAAGAAACAGCUCUUAAAAUGUGUACACCAUGGAAUCUGUGCUUGUGAACAUGUUUUACUAUACAGAAUUAUAACAUGAUAAUUGCUUAUUAUAUGCUUGAUCUUUGUAGAUGUCUUUACAUGCUUAUUUACACUCUUUCAAUUAAAAUCUUUCCUUAUAUGAUAUUUUAUAUUUAAUAAUUAUGAUUUGUGCAAAUCUAUCAAGUUUUCUCUAUCAUUUUCACAGUUCUAAUGAAACUAAUUAGAUGCACUGCUAUCACAUUGUUUAUUUUCAUACAUUCCUAGAUUCAAAAAGUUAUUUUCACCCUAAAAGUAAAAAUAAAGUCAGAUGCUCCCUUU